rnacentral:lncRNA from 1 species
AUGGUCAUCCGGUGUAGCCAGAGCCGCCUGAGCUGUGGCCGCUUCCAGUGGAAUCCUCAACCUUGGCCUCAGAGUAUUAUGAAUUUUCUGAAUUCAGGGAUAAAGAGCCAGUGCUUGGAUUUACUCUCUUUUUAUUGCAUACGCUCAUCAACAUUCCAAAGUGAUGUACAAAUCAGUUGCCUUGAGAGGAACGCCAGACCCCUAGCUCUUCUGGGCCCAGAAGCCAGCGCGAGAUGAGAGACCCCAGAGCAUUCAUCAAAGCAGAGAUCUCUGGCUUCAUCUCCAGCUACUGACUCUACCAGAUUAGGAAUCUCCUAAUGUAAACAGAACUUCAUUCAAGAUAUCGAAAUGGUUCUUCAUUCUUUUUUUUUUUUUUUUUUUUUUUAAAGAAAAGUACCUGGGCCUCACUCCAGAAGUACUAACUCAGAAUCUCCAGAAACAACGAGGUCCGAGAACCUGUUUUUUAAAAAAAAUAUUUAUUUAUUUAUUUAUUUUAUUUUGGCUGUGUUGGGUCUUCGUUGCUGCACGCAGGCUUUUCUCUAGUUGUGGUGAGCGGGGGCUGCUCUUCGUUGCGUUGCAUGAGCUUCUCAUUGUGGUGGCUUCUCUUGUUGUGGAGCACGGGCUCUAGGUGUGUGGGCUUCAGUAGUUGUGGCUCACGGGCUCUAGAGCACAGGCUCAGUAGUUGUAGCGCACGGGCUUAGUUGCUCCGCAGCAUGUGGGAUCUUCCCGGACCAGGGCUCGAACCCGCAUCCCUUGCAUUAGCAGGUGGAUUCUCAACCACUGUGCCACCAGGGAAGUCCUCUUCAUUCUUUUUUUCAUUUGUUCAAUGUUUGCUAAUGUCCUAGGUGAUGGGCUAAGACUUGGGAAGGAAAAGAUAAAUGAGAUGCCAACCUUCCCCUCAAGAAACACUUGGGUAAGGGCUGACAGACAUGAACAUGGACUUGUAUAUGCUCCUAAGACAAUGUGACAGUGCUGUCACACAGCUUCAUUCAAAACCUGAUGGGGACUUGUUAAGAAUGACUAAAGUUGUUAGCUUGCUGAUCAACAUUGACUGCAGAUGACAACUACGUGUUUUGAAGGUGAUCUAUAUAAUUGGGUGUUUGAGAGUUAAACAAACAGGAGAAUAAAGGAACAUGGGGAAAGAGAGGAAACGAUUAUUAGGCAUCUAACUGAGUAAAUUCAUGAGAAUUAUGCCACUUCAUCCUCACAAACACCCUGAGUUCUAAAUUGUAAUCACUAAACAGAUGGAGGAAUUGAGAGUUGGUAUGAACAGUAGUUUCCCCAAAGUCCCACACAGCUAGCUGGAGGCAGAAGCAGGAUUUCAAUACGUGUUCAGAGUCCUUCCACCAUGUGGUGUGGUUACAGCUAAAUGAGACAAAUAAAGCAUGGGUGAAAGAGGAAGUGGGAAAACUGGGCUUUGCUGCCUCUGUGAAAAUGAGUGAGUGACUCAGAGAUUUCUGACAGCAGGACCCACGGUUUGUGUAGUCAAGGUCUGUAAAUAUUUCAGUUACUAGAUUAAGGAGAUUUUAACUCAACAGCAGAAGCUUGCUGUCAGCCAAAAACUGCAAUGAGCAUUUCUUUGAGCUGGUAUAUAGACAUACCUAUGAGAGCAAGGUGGCCUCUCUGGAUCACUGACACAGAAAACCAAACGUAGCUGAACCUCAUUUAUUUGGAAAUUAUCUAUACCAUAAACUCACACAUCCAACACACAGCAAAGAAUCAGCAAAUAAGUAAAACUCUGUGAAUACUCAAGUAGAUAUCAUAAACAACAAAUAGUAAAUCUCAUGCACCGUAGUUUUAUAACAUUCAAAACGCCCUCAAGCC